rnacentral:rRNA from 1 species
CAGCAGCCGCGGGAAUACGUAGGUCCCGAGCGUUGUCCGGAUUUAUUGGGCGUAAAGCGAGCGCAGGCGGUUAGAAAAGUCUGAAGUGAAAGGCAGUGGCUCAACCAUUGUAGGCUUCGGAAACUGUUUAACUUGAGUGCAGAAGGGGAGAGUGGAAUUCCAUGUGUAGCGGUGAAAUGCGUAGAUAUAUGGAGGAACACCGGUGGCGAAAGCGGCUCUCUGGUCUGUAACUGACGCUGAGGCUCGAAAGCGUGGGGAGCGAACAGGAUUAGAUACCCCCGUAGUCCCUGUCUCUUAUACA